ACAAGAUUUCACCCCUACCCCUGAAGUACCUCUCACCUCUCCCGGCCUCGAGCCAGACAGUAUCUCGCGAAAGCCUGACAGUUAAGCUGCCAGAUUUCUCAAGAGACUUAUCCGGCCGGCUACAGACCCUUUAGACCCAAUAAUAACGGUUACCACUCGAGCCGCCGGUGUUACCGCGGCGGCUGGCACCGGUCUUGCCCGGCCCUUGCUAUGAAAUGCUUUUUAGGCAUCUCGACAGCCAGAUUUGUAACCUGGCACUCGAGGUUCCCUUAUCGCUGUUGCCAGCAUUGUAAAGUUUUCGCGCCUGCUGCACCCCGUAGGGCCUGGAUUCGUGUCUCAGAAUCCAUCUCCGGGCUCUUGCUCUCACAACCCGUACCCGUCGUAGGCUAGUAGGUACGCUACACCCACUACUACCUGAUAGGCCGCAGACCCAUCCUUAGGCGCCGGAGCUUUAAAUCUCGAUGCAUUCCAGCAAUCGAGACCUAUCGGGUAUUAUACCCAGUUUCCCGGGUUUAUCCCCGUCCUAAGGGCAGGUUGUCCACGUGUUACUGAGCAGUUCGCCAUGUAUUGCUACAUUC
rnacentral:rRNA from 1 species